rnacentral:misc_RNA from 1 species
GAUGAAGAACGUAGCGAAAUGCGAUACGUAAUGUGAAUUGCAAAUUCAGUGAAUCAUCGAGUCUUUGAACGCACAUUGCGCCCCCUGGUAUUCCGGGGGGCAUGCCUGUCCGAGCGUCAUUGCCGCCCUCAAGCACGGCUUGUGUGUUGGGCCCCGUCCUCCGAUCCCGGGGGACGGGCCCGAAAGGCAGCGGCGGCACCGCGUCCGGUCCUCGAGCGUAUGGGGCUUUGUCACCCGCUCUGUAGGCCCGGCCGGCGCUUGCCGAUCAACCCAAAUUUUUAUCCAGGUUGACCUCGGAUCAGGUAGGGAUACCCGCUGAACUUAAGCAUAUCAAUAAGCGGAGGA